AACGAACGCUGGCGGCAUGCCUAACACAUGCAAGUCGAACGAGACCUUCGGGUCUAGUGGCGCACGGGUGCGUAACGCGUGGGAAUCUGCCUUGGGUUCGGAAUAACAGUUAGAAAUGACUGCUAAUACCGGAUAAUGACGUAAGUCCAAAGAUUUAUCGCCCAAGGAUGAGCCCGCGUAGGAUUAGCUUGUUGGUGAGUAAAGGCUCACCAAGGCGACGAUCCUUAGCUGGUCUGAGAGGAUGAUCAGCCACACUGGGACUGAGACACGGCCCAGACUCCUACGGGAGGCAGCAGUGGGGAAUAUUGGACAAUGGGCGAAAGCCUGAUCCAGCAAUGCCGCGUGAGUGAUGAAGGCCUUAGGGUUGUAAAGCUCUUUUACCCGGGAUGAUAAUGACAGUACCGGGAGAAUAAGCCCCGGCUAACUCCGUGCCAGCCGCCGCGGUAAAAC
rnacentral:rRNA from 1 species